rnacentral:lncRNA from 1 species
UAUGUCUUAUGAAACAUAAAUUCAAAGUCUUUAAUAAAUUUAAAGAGUGUCAAAGUAUGGUCAAGAAGAAAACUAGAAAGUAUAUUAAAAUCUUUUGAUCUGAUCGAGGAGGUGAAUAUCUUUCUGGUAAAUUUUUGGAUCAACUUAAAGAAAAAGAUAUUCUCUCUAAGUGGACCCCUCCAUAUACACCAUAGCUAAA